GGUAGCAACCCGUUUGGUUAUCUUUCUGUGCUGUGGAAGGUUUGUUCUUUCACUCUGCACUAUUUUGCAAUAAAUAUUGCUAUUGCUCACUUUGGGUUUAUAUUGCCUUUAUGAGCUGUAACACUCACCAUGAAGGUCUGCAGCUUUACUCUUGAAGCUUAGCGAGACCACUAACCCACCAGAAGGAAGAAACUCCGGACACGCCGCCUUUAAGAACUGUAAUACUCAGUGCGAGGGUUCACGGCUUCAUUCUUGAGAAAGACAACGAGGAGGGAGCAGCUAGAGGGGUGGAAAUGGGAUCACAUGACCUUGUGAGAAGCAGGGAGAGAACACUGCGUCUGCUCCCUUUUAGAACAGCUCAAUAUAGGGAAUCCCUAACAGAGGACUUCCAGGAUAUCCUAGGGACAGCAGAGCCUCAAGAUCCAGGGAGGAUCCUGGAUACCUGAGUCACCACUUGGAGGGGAAUCUCCUGGAAGAACUGAUUGAUCAGCAACAUCUACAUUCAACUUGAGGUUGUUCCGUAAGACAGGAUGGCACAGAGCUUUAAGCAACAGCUCUGGCAUCUGACUUCCGUGUUUGCAUCUGGCUUUGAGUGUGACUUUGGACAAGUUCCUUAGCUGGCCAGAUACUCUUGUCCUCAUCCAUAAGAUGGAGCAACAACGAAGCCUUUCUCAUAGGUUAUUGUGAGGAUUGAAUGAAUUAGUAUAUGCCAAGCAUUUGAAGCAGUGCCUGACAUGUAGUAGAUGCUGAGUAACACUGGGGAUCUGCCUUUUCUUUUUCCUCUAUGUGACUGGCAGCCUUAGCCAGACCACAUCAGCUGAGAUGAUUUUCUCUGUAAGUUACCAGAAUCACCUAGAUCUGGCCAAGGACUUGCCCCUGUAAGGAAAUUUGGAAUAAGCAAAAAAGAUCACUAGGUGUCGCCGAUGGAAAACUAGGUUGUUUUGAGCAUACCUUUGCAUGUUAUCUGAUUUUAGCCUUUCAGGGUCUUUGAGCUAUUUUAUGGCUCUGUAGGUUGUACAUAACUGAUAGCAAUGCAAAAUAAUUCUUGUCUAUAGACAUGCAAAUAAAUCCUGUCCAGCGGUUCAAUUGACUACCCUCUUCCCUAAGGAAAAAGCCAGUUUCAGUCUAUUUGUAAAUUCAUUUCCACUUUCCUUACUCCCUAUAAAUUUCUGCUUUUCAGAUUUCUCCUUUGUUAACGUCUGCCUGGUUCCCUCAUUAAGUCAAAUAAAAUCUUUAACACGUUAAA
rnacentral:sRNA from 1 species